AUUGAACGCUGGCGGCAGGCCUAACACAUGCAAGUCGAACGAGUGGCGGACGGGUGAGUAAUGUCUGGGAAACUGCCUGAUGGAGGGGGAUAACUACUGGAAACGGUAGCUAAUACCGCAUACCAUCGGAUGUGCCCAGAUGGGAUUAGCUAGUAGGGGGGGUAAAGGCUAACCUAGGCGACGAUCCCUAGCUGGUCUGAGAGGAUGACCAGCUAGACUGGAACUGAGACACGGUCCAGACUCCUACGGGAGUCAGCAGUGGGGAAUAAUGCACAAUGGGUGGACGCCUGAUGCAGCCAUGCCGCGGGUAUGAAGCAUGCCUGAGGGUUGUAAAGUACUUUCAGCGGGGAGGCGUUACCCGCAGAAGAAGCACCGGAUAACUCCGUGCUAGCCGCCGCGGUAAUUCCUGUCUCUUAU
rnacentral:rRNA from 1 species